AUUUGGGGAUGGAUGAUGGGAAUGGAUGGAUGUGGGGAUGGAUAUGGAUGAUGGGAGUGGAUGGAUAUGGAUGAUGGGAGUGGAUGGAUAUGGAUGAUGGGAGUGGAUGGAUUUGGGGAUGGAUGAUGGGAGUGGGUGGAUUUGGGGAUGGAUAUGGAUGAUGUGAGUGGAUGGAUGAUGGGAGUGGAUGGAUUUGGAUGAUGGGAGUGGAUGGGGGAUAUGGAUGAUGGGAGUGGAUGGGGGAUAUGGAGGAUGGGAGUGGAUUGAUUUGGGGAUGGAUAUGGAUGAUGGGAGUGGAUGGAUGAUGGGAGUGGAUGGAUGAUGGGAGUGGAUGGAUGAUAUGAGAGUGGAUGGAUUUGGGGAUGGAUAUGGAUGAUGGGAGUGGAUGGAUAUUGAUGGGAGUAGAUGGAUUUGGGGAUGGAUGAUGGGAAUGGAUGGAUGUGGGGAUGGAUAUGGAUGAUGGGAGUGGAUGGAUGAUAUGGAUGAUGGGAGUGGAUGGAUAUGGAUGAUGGGAGUGGGUGGAUUUGGGGAUGGAUAUGGAUGAUGUGAGUGGAUGGAUGAUGGGAGUGGAUGGAUUUGGAUGAUGGGAGUGGGUGGGGGAUGUGGAUGAUGGGAGUGGAUUGAU